AUGAGUGGAACAUCUUCUUAACCAGUGAGAUUCCUGUAUUUUAUUUAUCAUUGUGGCUUUGAGCAUCGCUUGUUUAGCCUGAGAAUGCCUCCACUUUUCAGGUGGAGUCUAGAAAACGAAGCUCUGGAACAACAUUUUGUCAUGCUGGUGGGAGAGGUGUAGCCUAUGGCUCUGCCCUAACUUGUAACAGGAAGGUCCAGCCAUAUGAAUUUAUCCUCCUCUCCUUUUCUUUCUCAAGACACAGGAGGGCACAGAGAUGUGUGUCACUUACUGUCCCAAGACGACACAGUAGAACUGGUCAUCUCCUUCUCUAUUGGCUUGUUACUGGAUGUGUCCAGGUUCAUCACUAUGGACUUGCUGAUUCUCUGCUGGAUUCAGGUCAGAAGCC